rnacentral:rRNA from 1 species
CUCCAGAGUGGAUCCUGAGUACGGCGGAACACGUGAAAUUCCGUCGGAAUCCGGGAGGACCAUCUCCCAAGGCUAAAUACUCCCUAGUGACCGAUAGUGAACCAGUACCGUGAGGGAAAGGUGAAAAGCACCCCGGAAGGGGAGUGAAAUAGAUCCUGAAACCGUGUGCCUACAAGUAGUCAGAGCCCGUUAACGGGUGAUGGCGUGCCUUUUGUAGAAUGAACCGGCGAGUUACGAUCCCGUGCAAGGUUAAGCAGAAGAUGCGGAGCCGCAGCGAAAGCGAGUCUGAAUAGGGCGCAUGAGUACGUGGUCGUAGACCCGAAACCAGGUGAUCUACCCAUGUCCAGGGUGAAGUUCAGGUAACACUGAAUGGAGGCCCGAACCCACGCACGUUGAAAAGUGCGGGGAUGAGGUGUGGGUAGGGGUGAAAUGCCAAUCGAACCUGGAGAUAGCUGGUUCUCUCCGAAAUAGCUUUAGGGCUAGCCUCAAGGUAAGAGUCUCGGAGGUAGAGCACUGAUUGGACUAGGGGCCCCUACCGGGUUACCGAAUUCAGUCAAACUCCGAAUGCCGAUGACUUAUCCUUGGGAGUCAGACUGCGAGUGAUAAGAUCCGUAGUCGAAAGGGAAACAGCCCAGACCGCCAGCUAAGGUCCCAAAGUAUACGUUAAGUGGAAAAGGAUGUGGAGUUGCUUAGACAACCAGGAUGUUGGCUUAGAAGCAGCCACCAUUUAAAGAGUGCGUAAUAGCUCACUGGUCGAGUGACUCUGCGCCGAAAAUGUACCGGGGCUAAACGUAUCACCGAAGCUGCGGACUGUUCUUACGAACAGUGGUAGGAGAGCGUUCUAAGGGCUGUGAAGCCAGACCGGAAGGACUGGUGGAGCGCUUAGAAGUGAGAAUGCCGGUAUGAGUAGCGAAAGACGGGUGAGAAUCCCGUCCACCGAAUGCCUAAGGUUUCCUGAGGAAGGCUCGUCCGCUCAGGGUUAGUCGGGACCUAAGCCGAGGCCGAAAGGCGUAGGCGAUGGACAACAGGUUGAUAUUCCUGUACCACCUCCUCACCAUUUGAGCAAUGGGGGGACGCAGGAGGAUAGGGUAAGCGCGGUAUUGGAUAUCCGCGUCCAAGCAGUUAGGCUGGGAAAUAGGCAAAUCCGUUUCCCGUAAAGGCUGAGCUGUGAUGGCGAGCGAAAUUUAGUAGCGAAGUUCCUGAUUCCACACUGCCAAGAAAAGCCUCUAGCGAGGUGAGAGGUGCCCGUACCGCAAACCGACACAGGUAGGCGAGGAGAGAAUCCUAAGGUGAUCGAGAGAACUCUCGUUAAGGAACUCGGCAAAAUGACCCCGUAACUUCGGGAGAAGGGGUGCUUCUUAGGGUGUUAAAGCCCCGAGAAGCCGCAGUGAAUAGGCCCAGGCGACUGUUUAGCAAAAACACAGGUCUCUGCGAAGCCGUAAGGCGAAGUAUAGGGGCUGACGCCUGCCCGGUGCUGGAAGGUUAAGAGGAGCGCUUAGCGUAAGCGAAGGUGCGAAUUGAAGCCCCAGUAAACGGCGGCCGUAACUAUAACGGUCCUAAGGUAGCGAAAUUCCUUGUCGGGUAAGUUCCGACCCGCACGAAAGGCGCAACGAUCUGGGCACUGUCUCAACGAGAGACUCGGUGAAAUUAUAGUACCUGUGAAGAUGCAGGUUACCCGCGACAGGACGGAAAGACCCCGUGGAGCUUUACUGCAGCCUGAUAUUGAAUGUUGGUACAGCUUGUACAGGAUAGGUAGGAGCCUUGGAAACCGGAGCGCUAGCUUCGGUGGAGGCAUCGGUGGGAUACUACCCUGGCUGUAUUGACCUUCUAACCCGCUGCCCUUAUCGGGCAGGGAGACAGUGUCAGGUGGGCAGUUUGACUGGGGCGGUCGCCUCCUAAAAUGUAACGGAGGCGCCCAAAGGUUCCCUCAGAAUGGUUGGAAAUCAUUCGCAGAGUGUAAAGGCACAAGGGAGCUUGACUGCGAGACCUACAAGUCGAGCAGGGACGAAAGUCGGGCUUAGUGAUCCGGUGGUUCCGCAUGGAAGGGCCAUCGCUCAACGGAUAAAAGCUACCCCGGGGAUAACAGGCUUAUCUCCCCCAAGAGUCCACAUCGACGGGGAGGUUUGGCACCUCGAUGUCGGCUCAUCGCAUCCUGGGGCUGUAGUCGGUCCCAAGGGUUGGGCUGUUCGCCCAUUAAAGCGGUACGCGAGCUGGGUUCAGAACGUCGUGAGACAGUUCGGUCCCUAUCCGUCGCGGGCGCAGGAAAUUUGAGAGGAGCUGUCCUUAGUACGAGAGGACCGGGAUGGACGCACCGCUGGUGUACCAGUUGUUCUGCCAAGGGCAUCGCUGGGUAGCUAUGUGCGGACGGGAUAAGUGCUGAAAGCAUCUAAGCAUGAAGCCCCCCUCAAGAUGAGAUUUCCCAUUCCGCAAGGAAGUAAGAUCCCUGAAAGAUGAUCAGGUUGAUAGGUCUGAGGUGGAAGCGUGGUGACAC